rnacentral:lncRNA from 1 species
UCCUUGUCACUUCUCCUUCCAAACGUCUCACCUCCAAAACUCAGAUGGAGCCAGCUGCUUCAAGAUGCAGACAACAUCAUCUUUUUUUUUAAACUAUAGUGCAGGCAAUCAUGGUUUACAAACUAGUUUGAAGUAUACAAACUCACCUUACUCAGCUAGAUCGGAUAAGUUACAACUCUACAGACUCAGCAUAUUAAGUUAAAAAUUGCUUAAAGCACUGUGCCAACUCUUCAAUGUCUUUCUUAUUUCACUUUCUAGGCAGGGCAGCAGAUUUCUUCUCAGUCAUUUUGAAUUGCUCUAU